rnacentral:ncRNA from 1 species
AAUAAUCCAUAGACGGAGAAAAGUAGGAUAGGAUCUCUUGUAGAGAGAGGAAGUGCCGUGGCUGAGAGCAUUUCCACAAGUAGACUAUUUGAAAGACACUCCCGAGGCUUUAUUCUGAACGAUUUCUAGUAAGGAUAAACGUAAUCGGCGUUAACGAUGAAAGUGGGAGAACAGUUUAUUGUUCUUCAAUUAGGGUGGCACCACGGGCUUAUAACUCUCGUCCCUACU